GUAGGUGGCAAGCGUUGUCCGGAAUUAUUGGGCGUAAAGCGCGCGCAGGUGGUUCUUUAAGUCUGAUGUGAAAGCCCCCGGCUCAACCGGGGAGGGUCAUUGGAAACUGGGGAACUUGAGUGCAGGAGAGGAAAGUGGAAUUCCACGUGUAGCGGUGAAAUGCGUAGAUAUGUGGAGGAACACCAGUGGCGAAGGCGACUUUCUGGCCUGUAACUGACACUGAGGCGCGAAAGCGCGGGGAGCAAACAGGGAUUAGAUACCCUGGUAGUCCACGCCGUAAACGAUGAGUGCUAAGUGUUGGGGGGGUUUCCCGCCCCUCAGUGCUGCAGCUAACGCAUUAAGCACUCCGCCUGGGGAGUACGGUCGCAAGACUG
rnacentral:rRNA from 1 species